CGGGUACCUAUACAUGCAAGUCGAGCGGACAGAUGGGAGCUUGCUCCCUGAUGUUAGCGGCGGACGGGUGAGUAACACGUGGGUAACCUGCCUGUAAGACUGGGAUAACUCCGGGAAACCGGGGCUAAUACCGGAUGGUUGUUUGAACCGCAUGGUUCAAACAUAAAAGGUGGCUUCGGCUACCACUUACAGAUGGACCCGCGGCGCAUUAGCUAGUUGGUGAGGUAAUGGCUCACCAAGGCAACGAUGCGUAGCCGACCUGAGAGGGUGAUCGGCCACACUGGGACUGAGACACGGCCCAGACUCCUACGGGAGGCAGCAGUAGGGAAUCUUCCGCAAUGGACGAAAGUCUGACGGAGCAACGCCGCGUGAGUGAUGAAGGUUUUCGGAUCGUAAAGCUCUGUUGUUAGGGAAGAACAAGUACCGUUCGAAUAGGGCGGUACCUUGACGGUACCUAACCAGAAAGCCACGGCUAACUACGUGCCAGCAGCCGCGGUAAUACGUAGGUGGCAAGCGUUGUCCGGAAUUAUUGGGCGUAAAGGGCUCGCAGGCGGUUUCUUAAGUCUGAUGUGAAAGCCCCCGGCUCAACCGGGGAGGGUCAUUGGAAACUGGGGAACUUGAGUGCAGAAGAGGAGAGUGGAAUUCCACGUGUAGCGGUGAAAUGCGUAGAGAUGUGGAGGAACACCAGUGGCGAAGGCGACUCUCUGGUCUGUAACUGACGCUGAGGAGCGAAAGCGUGGGGAGCGAACAGGAUUAGAUACCCUGGUAGUCCACGCCGUAAACGAUGAGUGCUAAGUGUUAGGGGGUUUCCGCCCCUUAGUGCUGCAGCUAACGCAUUAAGCACUCCGCCUGGGGAGUACGGUCGCAAGACUGAAACUCAAAGGAAUUGACGGGGGCCCGCACAAGCGGUGGAG
rnacentral:rRNA from 1 species